rnacentral:rRNA from 1 species
AUUAUAUGAAUAAGGAUCGGCUAACUCCGUGCCAGCAGCCGCGGUAAUACGGAGGAUCCGAGCGUUAUCCGGAUUUAUUGGGUUUAAAGGGAGCGUAGGUGGACUGGUAAGUCAGUUGUGAAAGUUUGCGGCUCAACCGUAAAAUUGCAGUUGAUACUGUCAGUCUUGAGUACAGUAGAGGUGGGCGGAAUUCGUGGUGUAGCGGUGAAAUGCUUAGAUAUCACGAAGAACUCCGAUUGCGAAGGCAGCUCACUGGACUGCAACUGACACUGAUGCUCGAAAGUGUGGGUAUCAAACAGGAUUAGAUACCCUGGUAGUCCACACAGUAAACGAUGAAUACUCGCUGUUUGCGAUAUACAGUAAGCGGCCAAGCGAAAGCAUUAAGUAUUCCACCUGGGGAGUACGCCGGCAACGGUGAAACUCAAAGGAAUUGACGGGGGCCCGCACAAGCGGAGGAACAUGUGGUUUAAUUCGAUGAUACGCGAGGAACCUUACCCGGGCUUAAAUUGCAGUGGAAUGAUGUGGAAACAUGUCAGUGAGCAAUCACCGCUGUGAAGGUGCUGCAUGGUUGUCGUCAGCUCGUGCCGUGAGGUGUCGGCUUAAGUGCCAUAACGAGCGCAACCCUUAUCUUUAGUUACUAACAGGUUAUGCUGAGGACUCUAGAGAGACUGCCGUCGUAAGAUGUGAGGAAGGUGGGGAUGACGUCAAAUCAGCACGGCCCUUACGUCCGGGGCUACACACGUGUUACAAUGGGGGGUACAGAAGGCAGCUAGCGGGUGACCGUAUGCUAAUCCCAAAAGCCUCUCUCAGUUCGGAUCGAAGUCUGCAACCCGACUUCGUGAAGCUGGAUUCGCUAGUAAUCGCGCAUCAGCCACGGCGCGGUGAAUACGUUCCCGGGCCUUGUACACACCGCCCGUCAAGCCAUGGGAGCCGGGGGUACCUGAAGUACGUAACCGCAAGGAUCGUCCUAGGGUAAAACUGGUGACUGGGGCUAAGUCGUAACAAGGUAGCCGUACCGGAAGGUGCGGCUG